UAGAUGGAUGCCCGCUUGGCUUGGGCGCUUAGCUGUUAACUAAGAUUUCGUAGGAUCGAGGCCUGCCCGUCUAG
rnacentral:tRNA from 2 species